ACUACAAAGUUAUAAGAGGAAGGCACAGGAAACUAAUCUCAAACAAGCCCAGUUUCAAGAAUCUGUCACCUGAUGACCACAUGUUAUCAACCACUGUCCUGUGUCAUGCUGCAGUGACCAUGAUCUGCAGAUGUCCUUCAUCAUAUCUGUAGCUAUGGUUGACUUGUAGAUAUGUAGAUGUGACUGAAUGACUUGGCUAUUGAGCAGGAGUGCUUUAAUUUGUUCCUACUAGAGAAUGACCAAGGAACUCUUAGAAGACAGAGAUCUUUCCAUUCUGUCCACUCCUGCCUUCAUUCACCUCCACAGGCCAGAUCUGCUGCUGAACAAUGACCACUGAGAGCAAGCACAGGAAAUGUGGAGCCCAGAGAGACCUGACACACAGCAGGAGAACCUCCCCUAUUCAGCGUUUCCAAGAUGCCUUUCCAGACUAGAACC